rnacentral:rRNA from 1 species
UGAACGCUGGCGGUAGGCCUACCACAUGCAAGUCGAACGGCAGCACAGUAAGAGCUUGCUCUUACGGGUGGCGAGUGGCGGACGGGUGAGGAAUACAUCGGAAUCUACUUUUUCGUGGGGGAUAACGUAGGGAAACUUACGCUAAUACCGCAUACGACCUACGGGUGAAAGCAGGGGAUCUUCGGACCUUGCGCGAUUGAAUGAGCCGAUGUCGGAUUAGCUAGUUGGCGGGGUAAAGGCCCACCAAGGCGACGAUCCGUAGCUGGUCUGAGAGGAUGAUCAGCCACACUGGAACUGAGACACGGUCCAGACUCCUACGGGAGGCAGCAGUGGGGAAUAUUGGACAAUGGGCGCAAGCCUGAUCCAGCCACACCGCGUGGGUGAAGAAGGCCUUCGGGUUGUAAAGCCCUUUUGUUGGGAAAGAAAAGCAGCAGGUUAAUACCCCGCUGUUCUGACGGUACCCAAAGAAUAAGCACCGGCUAACUUCGUG